rnacentral:rRNA from 1 species
CGCGGUAUUAUGACCGUGCGAAGGUAGCAUAAUCAUUAGUCUUUUAAUUGAGGGCUGGUAUGAAUGGUUGGACGAGAAAUGAGCUGUCUUAAGUUUUGAAAAUUGAACUUAACUUUUAAGUGAGAAGGCUUAAAUAGACUAGAGGGACGAUAAGACCCUAUAAAGUUUGACACUAAAUUAAUUAAAGGUGAUUUGGGUUAUAAAGUUUUAUUAUUAAAUAAGUGUUUAGUUGGGGCGACUAGGAUAUAAGUGAUUUAACUGUUUCUUCGUUUAAACCAAAAAUAUUUGGGUUUAUGAUCCUUUUUAGGAUUUUAGAGUAAAUUACUUUAGGGAUAACAGCGUAAUUUUUUUUGAGAGUUCUUAUCGAUAAGAGAGUUUGCGACCUCGAUGUUGAAUUAAAAUUUCUUUGUGGCGCAGCAGUUGCAGGAGGAGGUC